rnacentral:rRNA from 1 species
CCCUUAGAUGUCCGGGGCUGCACGCGCGCUACACUGAAGGAAUCAGCGUGCUAAAACCAUUGUCGAAAGGCAUUGGUAAACCCAUUAAAAUCCUACGUGAUUGGGAUCGGGAAUUGCAAUUAUUUCCCUUGAACGAGGAAUUCCCAGUAAGUGUGGGUCAUAAGCUCGCGUUGAUUACGUCCCUGCCCUUUGUACACACCGCCCGUCGCUGCCCGGGACUGAGCCGUUUCGAGAAAAGCGGGGACUGCUGCUGUCGGGGCUUUCGGGCCUUGGCUUCGGUGGAAACCGCUUUAAUCGCAGUGGCUUAAACCGGGCAAAAGUCGUAACA